UUUGCAAUUCUGUUUUGUGUAUUCCUCCAAAGAUUCCCUGAUUCGUGUAUUUAAGGGGACACUCAUUUGUGAAUAAGAUCAGAGAAGAAUUAUAGUAUUUCUUUAGCUUUUGUGGAGGUUGCUCUCCCUCGAAGAGAGUAGUUAUCGUUUACCCUAUCAGUUCCACAAAAAGUUUGCGUUUUUUCCUUCAUCCAUGGUGUUAGAUUUUAAUUGAGUAAAUUGCAUGUAGGUGAAAAAGGUUUGGCAGGUGUUGAACUUGAGAUUUCUCCUUCACAUCUGAGAUAACACAAAAUCGUCAGUGUUGUUAUCACAUCGCGUUUCUGGUUGGAGUAUAUUUAUAGCGUCUAGAAGCAACGGUCACCGACAGAGCCUGCACUUAGUCUUUGCCGUCAACUUCUUCCACAACCUCUCCGGGAUUUUUUGUAUUAGCCAUAACUGAUACAAGUAAACUGUCUUUGUGCUUAUAAAUACUGAGUUCCAACACAAAGAGGCAAACUGAAGACACUUUUGAAGUCGUUGCUGGCUUUGAUGCUUUGUUCCUGCCGUUGCAGUCACUUUGCAAGUCAGAUGGCUGUACCGAUUUCCAACUCAUUGGGGACUGCUUAUUUGAAUCUUCCAAUCCAUGUCAUGUUUGAGUAAUAGCAUUGGAUAUAUAUUUCCUGUGUAUGGGUGAUGGUACGAAGGAUGCACUGUCAUACAAUGUGGACUGCUUUGGAGUCAUUGAAGGCUUUAGUUUAUUUGUAUCUUGAAAAAAUUUCAAUCAGAUUGACAGCGUUGCCUCCAAAGGAUGAUGACAAUAGACAGCCAGACCAUAAUGCAGAGGACAUCAGAUUGAUGCAUUUUGGCAACUGUGUUAUGGGUGAAUGUGUAUAAUUUCAAUACUAUGCAAUCUUUAUCCUCCAAUCCUGUAAUGGCCCAAAAUACAUCUUCUCCCAUUGAUUUUCUAUCAAGAAUCUUACCAUUUACAUCUAUUACGUAAGCAUCAACAACUUUGUCUGCUGCUAUGCCAGUUGGUCCGACUUGUCAUUUGUGUCUUCUCGGCAGCCAUCACCAUAUGGGUGUGGAAUCAACUGAAUUUAUUUAUGUUAAACAUGCAUCUUUCUCA